rnacentral:rRNA from 1 species
CGUUUAUUUGAUAGUACCUUACUACUUGGAUAACCGUGGUAAUUCUAGAGCUAAUACAUGCUAAAAACCCCGACUUCGGGAGGGGUGUAUUUAUUAGAUAAAAAACCAAUGCCCUUCGGGGCUCCUUGGUGAAUCAUAAUAACUUAACGGAUCGCAUGGCCUUGCGCCGGCGACGGUUCAUUCAAAUUUCUGCCCUAUCAACUUUCGAUUGUAGGGUAUUGGCCUACAAUGGUAUCAACGGGUAACGGGGAAUUAGGGUUCGAUUCCGGAGAGGGAGCCUGAGAAACGGCUACCACAUCCAAGGAAGGCAGCAGGCGCGCAAAUUACCCAAUCCCGACACGGGGAGGUAGUGACAAUAAAUACUGAUACAGGGCUCUUUUGGGUCUUGUAAUUGGAAUGAGUACAAUUUAAAUCCCUUAACGAGGAACAAUUGGAGGGCAAGUCUGGUGCCAGCAGCCGCGGUAAUUCCAGCUCCAAUAGCGUAUAUUAAAGUUGUUGCAGUUAAAAAGCUCGUAGUUGAACCUUGGGUCUGGCUGGCCGGUCCGCCUCACCGCGUGCACUGGUCCGGCCGGACCUUUCCUUCUGGAGAACCGCAUGCCCUUCACUGGGUGUGUCGGGGAACCAGGACUUUUACUUUGAAAAAAUUAGAGUGUUCAAAGCAGGCCUUUGCUCGAAUACAUUAGCAUGGAAUAAUAGAAUAGGACGUGCGGUCCUAUUUUGUUGGUUUCUAGGACCGCCGUAAUGAUUAAUAGGGAUAGUCGGGGGCAUCAGUAUUCAAUUGUCAGAGGUGAAAUUCUUAGAUUUAUUGAAGACUAACUACUGCGAAAGCAUUUGCCA